rnacentral:rRNA from 1 species
UACGAAGGGGGCUAGCGUUGCUCGGAAUUACUGGGCGUAAAGGGCGCGUAGGCGGCGCAUUUAGUCAGGCGUGAAAGUCCUGGGCUCAACCUGGGAACUGCGCUUGAUACGGGUGUGCUAGAGGAUGGAAGAGGCUCGCGGAAUUCCCAGUGUAGAGGUGAAAUUCGUAGAUAUUCGGCGGAACACCAGUGGCGAAGGCGACUCACUGGCCCGAUACUGACGCUGAGGCGCGAAAGCGUGGGGAGCAAACAGG